CAUAGACCUUGCUGGUUCAGUGGCAGUGGCUAGAUCAUGAGUGAGCAUCUCUUUUGGAGCAAGUCUACACAGAGGGAGUGGUUUGUAUGUCAAUAACUCUCCAGAUUGUGUUGCAAACACCGUCUUCAACUCAGCCAUUUUUCUCCUGUUUUGAAAGAACCAGAGAAUAAACAAGAGGAGGACAAAGAAAUCACUUAGUGACACUGUCCAACAAUCCUGAGAGUGUUUCUG
rnacentral:lncRNA from 1 species